rnacentral:misc_RNA from 1 species
UCUCCGUAGGUGAACCUGCGGAGGGAUCAUUACUGAGUGAGGGCUUCGGUCCGACCUCCAACCCUUUGUGAACCAAACUUGUUGCUUCGGGGGCGACCCUGCCGCUUCGGCGGUGCGGCGCCCCCGGAGGCCAUUAAACACUGCAUCAUUGCGUCGGAGUUUAACACAAAUGAAACAAAACUUUCAACAACGGAUCUCUUGGUUCUGGCAUCGAUGAAGAACGCAGC